GAUGAACGCUGGCGGCGUGCCUAAUACAUGCAAGUCGAGCGAACAGACGAGGAGCUUGCUCCUUUGACGUUAGCGGCGGACGGGUGAGUAACACGUAGGUAACCUACCUAUAAGACUGGGAUAACUUCGGGAAACCGGAGCUAAUACCGGAUAAUAUUUCGAACCGCAUGGUUCGAUAGUGAAAGAUGGCUUUGCUAUCACUUAUAGAUGGACCUGCGCCGUAUUAGCUAGUUGGUAAGGUAACGGCUUACCAAGGCAACGAUACGUAGCCGACCUGAGAGGGUGAUCGGCCACACUGGAACUGAGACACGGUCCAGACUCCUACGGGAGGCAGCAGUAGGGAAUCUUGCGCAAUGGGCGAAAGCCUGACGGAGCAACGCCGCGUGAAUGAUGAAGGUCUUCGGAUCGUAAAACUCUGUUAUUAGGGAAGAACAAACGUGUAAGUAACUGUGCACGUCUUGACGGUACCUAAUCAGAAAGCCACGGCUAACUACGUG
rnacentral:rRNA from 1 species